rnacentral:lncRNA from 1 species
UCAGAAUAGUAAAGGAGAUAAAGAGAAAAGAGACGCUCACAUCAUAAUACCUCUCGUGGUAAUCUAGCAACGUAACAGCUUUUCGUCCUCGGGUUUGGUCCAAGCUGCACGGUUUGGUUGAGUUCCAAUGCCAGUUUAGGUAAAAAAUAUAGUCUAGGAGAGCUUCAGUAGUUAUCCGUGUCUAAACAUUUCUCAAGUGUUUGACUACUAGUACACUCUUGAAGAGCCUUGGCGUUAAGCUCUCUGCCAUAUCUCCAGACAUAGUUGAGCCCGACAAGAAGCUCCGUGAUGAUGGUUUCUGUUUUCUGCUGGUUCGCAAAGAAGAGAGUCUGCGCGAGAACUAUGUGCGUCCUCGAAACCAAGCUCUGGUUCUCGUAACUCCUCUCGGACUGCCAUUUUAUCAUGUUGUGAGCUAACGGACCCAACCAUUCCAAGAUACCCGCCAUUGCGUCUGUCCACUCCUUCGCUAGCCCCGGAUCAUAAACCGCGGAAGAGCUCAAGUUUUUCGAGUACGGCUUUAGCCUCUCUCUCAACGAUUUUCUCACGCUCGCUGGUAACAUGUUGUAAAGGUCGUCUCUCGCAUCGUCGCCUAUCAAGUGGGGAGAUGCAACGAAUCUCUCUAUCACGAUGAUGACAUUAGCGUAGUGUAACGCUAAGCAAGCGGCGCCGAGGGUGUUAGGAGCAGCAUCUGACAACUUGGGUCUUUCAACGUGGACAGUGUUGGAACUUCCUUGGAGAAUCUGAUGAUGCUCUGCGCUACUAUGCCUAGCUCCGUUCUGGGUCCUAGUGCUGAGAGGAGUGAUACCGUCUUGAGACACCAUGCAGCCUUUAAAGGGACCAACCUGUGUUAAACGGUUGGGUUUUGACUGCUUUUUCGCUGAGGAGACCGAAGGCCUUUCCGGUGUCUGCACCACCGUCUUCUUGUUGUGUUUGCCCAUUCCCAUAAGCGGUCCUGAUUUGGAUGUGAACUUCCCGAGAGGACCCGAGUAAAACUUGAAACGUUUGUUCUUUUCUGGGGCAAGAGGACCUGACUUAGGGGACUGGGUAGUGAGUGAGCCCGAGAGGAAAUCACCCAUCUUCGUGGACUUUGUAGCAGCUGAGCCUGACGCUGGACCUGUGAAUCUCCCAAGAGGACCAGAAGCAAAUCUAGGAGGACGGGUGGUCUCGGACUGAUGCGUCAAAACAGUGGAAACAGAGUGGCCGCGAGCGAUGAAAUCAGAAUCCGCAGAGCUAACAUCGCUAGCCUCUGCUCUGUAACUAAUGCCGAAAACAUGUUUAGUCCUAGUCAAGAUUGUGAAGAUCGAUCUCACCAAGAGAAGGACGGUGUAGUCAUAAGUACGGUUCCAAAGAGACACCUCCCUUAGAUUCUUCACUUCAUGUUUCUUCCACGUGACUUUUUUCUUGUACUCCACUAUAUUAUCGGUUGCAGAUUCAUUGCUCUGCCUUCUCUUGAGACUCUGCUCAAGCUCCGUCAGAAUCUCAGUGCUGCCUUUUCGCUACGGAGACAAUGAGACUCUCGAAUACGGCGUAGUUUCUUCCGUACGGCCAACGCUUUGCGUUUUAGACUUGUUUUUGUUUGUUUGAUUAAUAAUGGGCUUUCUUACCUAUUUUAAACAUAUUUUGUUGAUAAAAAGUAAUGGAAAAUUUGAGUGUAGUUUUGGAUAAUUAAAAUUUCAGCAAGAAAAAAAUUGGAUAAUGAACUGAAGAAUUCUUAUUUGAACUCAAUUUAUGUACUCUCUGUACAAAAAAAUAAUAAUAACAAUGUUUUAAUUAUAAAUUAGAUAUAUAUAUAUAUAUAUAUAUAUAUAAUUUUAAAAAUCGUAUUAUAAUAUCUCAAAAUGAAUUUCAAAACUGAAUUUGUAUUUGUAUGUGUGUGAUGAACCAUUUGUAUAUUUAUGAUCGUAUAAAGCAAACACCAUACGCAUUCGUAUUGUAUGCAAUAUACAAGAAUAUUAAUGGUGUAACCGUAUACGUAACUGAAUUUUGAGAUUUGCGACUUAUGAAUUGGUUUCCAUGAAGAACCCACACCAGUGACAUCACCAUACGAAUAAACUCUGACCGAGAGAACAACAAGCACGAGUUAUAAUAAUACAGACAUAACUUGAACAACUCGGAACUUAAAAUCCCCAAAUCAAGGAUUCUUCUGUAUCAUCACCACUGGAUUUUACAAUAAUCAAAAACAACCUUGGCACAUACGUAUAUGCAGCAGUAGUAUGUAUCAUCUCAACCACAAUAAAAUCUCGUAGAAACAAUAUACAAUGCAUCAUCACAUCCUACUACAAGUCAGAAUAGUAAAGGAGAUAAAGAGAAAAGAGACGCUCACAUCAUAAUACCUCUCGUGGUAAUCUAGCAACGUAACAGCUUUUCGUCCUCGGGUUUGGUCCAAGCUGCACGGUUUGGUUGAGUUCCAAUGCCAGUUUAGGUAAAAAAUAUAGUCUAGGAGAGCUUCAGUAGUUAUCCGUGUCUAAACAUUUCUCAAGUGUUUGACUACUAGUACACUCUUGAAGAGCCUUGGCGUUAAGCUCUCUGCCAUAUCUCCAGACAUAGUUGAGCCCGACAAGAAGCUCCGUGAUGAUGGUUUCUGUUUUCUGCUGGUUCGCAAAGAAGAGAGUCUGCGCGAGAACUAUGUGCGUCCUCGAAACCAAGCUCUGGUUCUCGUAACUCCUCUCGGACUGCCAUUUUAUCAUGUUGUGAGCUAACGGACCCAACCAUUCCAAGAUACCCGCCAUUGCGUCUGUCCACUCCUUCGCUAGCCCCGGAUCAUAAACCGCGGAAGAGCUCAAGUUUUUCGAGUACGGCUUUAGCCUCUCUCUCAACGAUUUUCUCACGCUCGCUGGUAACAUGUUGUAAAGGUCGUCUCUCGCAUCGUCGCCUAUCAAGUGGGGAGAUGCAACGAAUCUCUCUAUCACGAUGAUGACAUUAGCGUAGUGUAACGCUAAGCAAGCGGCGCCGAGGGUGUUAGGAGCAGCAUCUGACAACUUGGGUCUUUCAACGUGGACAGUGUUGGAACUUCCUUCGAGAAUCUGAUGAUGCUCUGCGCUACUAUGCCUAGCUCCGUUCUGGGUCCUAGUGCUGAGAGGAGUGAUACCGUCUUGAGACACCAUGCAGCCUUUAAAGGGACCAACCUGUGUUAAACGGUUGGGUUUCGACUGCUUUUUCGCUGAGGAGACCGAAGGCCUUUCCGGUGUCUGCACCACCGUCUUCUUGUUGUGUUUGCCCAUUCCCAUAAGCGGUCCUGAUUUGGAGGUGAACUUCCCGAGAGGACCCGAGUAAAACUUGAAACGUUUGUUCUUUUCUGGGGCAAGAGGACCUGACUUAGGGGACUGGGUAGUGAGUGAGCCCGAGAGGAAAUCACCCAUCUUCGUGGACUUUGUAGCAGCUGAGCCUGACGCUGGACCUGUGAAUCUCCCAAGAGGACCAGAAGCAAAUCUAGGAGGACGGGUGGUCUCGGACUGAUGCGUCAAAACAGUGGAAACAGAGUGGCCGCGAGCGAUGAAAUCAGAAUCCGCAGAGCUAACAUCGCUAGCCUCUGCUCUGUAACUAAUGCCGAAAACAUGUUUAGUCCUAGUCAAGAUUGUGAAGAUCGAUCUCACCAAGAGAAGGACGGUGUAGUCAUAAGUACGGUUCCAAAGAGACACCUCCCUUAGAUUCUUCACUUCAUGUUUCUUCCACGUGACUUUUUUCUUGUACUCCACUAUAUUAUCGGUUGCAGAUUCAUUGCUCUGCCUUCUCUUGAGACUCUGCUCAAGCUCCGUCAGAAUCUCAGUCUCCUGGUAAAGACUAGCAUUAGACGAGAUAAAACGCUCCAUCCUCUUAACCUUUCUAUCCAUUUUCUUCCACCCAAACUGCCACCCAUAAGGAUCAGCUCCCGUCUUCAUCAUCUCACCGAAACAACUCUCGAAGCUCUUCAACUUGGGAUCGUUGCAUUUUACAGCGAGCCUAGCCACAGCUUUCGCUACGUUCUCAACGUUCUCCAUCAUCUCGUCGCGUAUCAGCCUCACGAUGAAGUCAUCGUCAUCUGAAACUAGCUUCUUUAUACCCGCGGAACGCGUGAUCUCUUCUCUGAGCCUCGUGACGUUCUUAUCGCUCAGGGAUUGCCAUAGAUGAACGAGUUUCGAGAGUAGACUAGCGACCUCGAAGGCUAACACUCCAAGCACAUCCUUCUCUUUAUGACCUUCGUUUUUCUUUGGGAAUUUCCAGAGGUUACGAAACCAAGUCUCUGAAACCAUCCUCUCUCUCUCUCAAGCUGAUGCGUGACAAUCAACAGUGUCUCUCCUACACAAUGAAUGAACAAUCUGUUAACCAAUACAAGUGAGGAAACGCAGAAUCAAUCAUUCACAUCAAAAGUGGAAUCAUCAAGAAAACAGCUCUUACGCACGUAAUAUGAAUCGAUUCUGCUGAAAGUGGGAGAAAUCUAGCUACAGAGCUAACGUUACGUAGAAUCGCCAAUCCUACCAACUCUCUCUCUCUCUCAAACUGCUGCGUUAUAAUCAACAGUGUCUCCUACACAAUGAAUGAACAAGAUCAGGAACAAUCUGUUAGCCAUUGAAACGCAUAAUCAAUCAUUCACACAAGUAAUUCACAUCAAAAACUCGAAAUCUCUAAGCUGAAAUCAUCAAGAAAACACCUCUUACGCAAGCAAUAGGAAUCGGAUUUGGCUGAAAUUGGAUUGAAAUCUAUGCUACAGAGCUCAAGUUACGCAGAAUCACCAAUCCUACCAUCCUCUCUCAAUACAAUCAACAGUGUCUCCUACACAACGAAUGAACAAUCUGUUAACCAAUGAAACGCAUAAUCAAUCAUUCACACAAGCGAUUCACAUCCAAAAACUGAAAUCUCGAGCUGAAAUCAGCUCUUACGCACGUAAAUAUGAAUCGAUUUAGCUGAAAUUAGGCGAAAACCUAAGCUACAGAGCUCGAGUUACGCAGAAUCGCCAAAUCAAAAUCACGAACAACCCGUUAACCAAUACGACUGAGGAAACGCAGAAUCAAUCAUUCACACAAACGAUUCACAUCAAAAAACUCGAAAUCUCGAGGUGGAAUCAUCAAGAAAACAGCUCUUACGCAAGCAAUAUGAAUCGAUUUAGCUGAGAUUGGAUGAAAUCAAGCUACUACGCAGAAUCGCCAAAUCCUACCAAAUCGAGUUUCUAAAUAAAUUCUCCAGCUGGAGUAUGUAAACACGGCCUCGCGAAAUCACUAUUCGAAUUGGAAUUGUCGGCGAAUCGAGAAACAGAUAUGGAAACAGAAGAGGCGUCUGCAAACGAGGAAGCGCGUAAGAGCGCGAGAGGAGAAGAAGAAAGCUUACCGAUUUUGGCACAUACGUAUAUGCAGCAGUAGUAUGUAUCAUCUCAACCACAAUAAAAUCUCGUAGAAACAAUAUACAAUGCAUCAUCACAUCCUACUACAAGUCAGAAUAGUAAAGGAGAUAAAGAGAAAAGAGACGCUCACAUCAUAAUACCUCUCGUGGUAAUCUAGCAACGUAACAGCUUUUCGUCCUCGGGUUUGGUCCAAGCUGCACGGUUUGGUUGAGUUCCAAUGCCAGUUUAGGUAAAAAAUAUAGUCUAGGAGAGCUUCAGUAGUUAUCCGUGUCUAAACAUUUCUCAAGUGUUUGACUACUAGUACACUCUUGAAGAGCCUUGGCGUUAAGCUCUCUGCCAUAUCUCCAGACAUAGUUGAGCCCGACAAGAAGCUCCGUGAUGAUGGUUU